rnacentral:rRNA from 1 species
GACGAACGCUGGCGGCGUGCCUAACACAUGCAAGUCGAACGGAGUGGCGAACGGGUGAGUAACAUGUGGGUGAUCUGCCUUGCACUUGGGGAUAAGCUAGGGAAACCGGGACUAAUACCGGAUAGUGCAAGAUGUGCUCGCGGCCUAUCGGCUUGUUGGUGGGGGAAUGGCCUACCAAGGCGUCGACGGGUAGCCGGCCUGGGAGGGUGUACGGCGACAAUGGGACUGCGAUACGGCGCAGUCUGCAACGUGGCGCAGUGGUGGGGAAUAUUGCACAAUGGGCGCAAGCCUGAUACAGCGGCGCCGGGUGGGGAAUGAAGGCUUUCGGGUUGUAAACUCCUUUCGACAGGUACUCGGUACCUGUAUAAGAAGCACCGGCUAACUACGUGCCAGCAGCCGCGGUAAUUC